UUCAAUCAAAUUUCAUGGGUUUAACAUCAACCUUUUCAUCAUUCCCACAAUUCAAUCAAAUUUCAUGGGUUUAACAUCAUCAUUUCUAUAAUUCCCACAAUUCAAUAAAAUUUCAUGGGUUUAACAUCAUCAUUUUCAUCAUUCCCACAUUUCAAUCAAAUUUCAUGGGUUUAACAUCAACCUUUUCAUCAUUCCCACAAUUCAAUCAAAUUUCAUGGGUUAAACAUCAUCAUUUCUAUAAUUCCCAUAAUUCAAUCAAAUUUCAUGGGUUUCACAUCAACAUUUUCAUCAUUCCCAGUAUUCAAUCAAAUUUCAUGGGUUUAACAUCAUCAUUUCUAUAAUUCCCAUAAUUCAAUCAAUUUUCAUGGGUUUAACAUCAACAUUUUCAUCAUUCCCACA
rnacentral:lncRNA from 1 species